rnacentral:tRNA from 3 species
GCGGGCAUCGUAUAAUGGCUAUUACCUCAGCCUUCCAAGCUGAUGAUGCGGUUCGAUUCCCGCUGCCCGCUCCA